rnacentral:rRNA from 1 species
AGUGGAUGGGGAGCAACCUAGUUGUGCGUGUGUAAAGGUAGUGCCAAGAAAAGCGGUGAUCAUGAUGAAAAUCAAUUCCCGGUACCCGAAACCGACACAGGUGGGCAAGUAGAGAAUACUAAGGGGCGCGAGGUAACUCUCUCCAAGGAACUCGGCAAAAUGACCCCGUAACUUAGGGAGAAGGGGUGCCACCGAGAGGUGGUCGCAGUGAAGAGGCCCAGGCGACUGUUUAGCAAAAACAUAGGUCUCUGCAAACUCGAAAGAGGAGGUAUAGGGGCUGACGCCUGCCCAGUGCCGGAAGGUUAAAGAAGUUGGUCAGUCUUAGGAUAAAGCUAGCGACUGAAGCCCCGGUGAACGGCGGCCGUAACUAUAACGGUCCUAAGGUAGCGAAAUUCCUUGUCGGGUAAGUUCCGACCCGCACGAAAGGCGUAACGAUCUGGGCGCUGUCUCGGAGAGAGGCUCGGCGAAAUAGGAUUGUCUGUGAAGAUACGGACUACCUGCAUUUGGACAGAAAGACCCUAUGAAGCUUUACUAUAGCUUGGAAUUGUGUUCGGGCUUCCUGUGCGCAGGAUAGGUGGGAGGCGAAGAAGGUAUUCUUGUGGGGAUACUGGAGCCAACGGUGAGAUACCACUCUCAGGAGGCUAGAAUUCUAACUUAAUUAAGGACAGUUUCAGGUGGGUAGUUUGACUGGGGCGGUCGCCUCCAAAAAGGUAACGGAGGCGUACAGAGGUUCCCUCAGACUGGUUGGAAAUCAGUCGCAGAGUGCAAAGGCAGAAGGGAGCUUGACUGCGAGAAGUACAGUUCGAGCAGGGUGGAAACACGGUCUUAGUGAUCCGACGGUGCUGUGUGGAAGGGCCGUCGCUCAACGGAUAAAAGUUACUCUAGGAUAACAGGCUGAUCUCCCCCAAGAGUUCACAUCGACGGGGAGGUUUGGCACCUCGAUGUCGGCUCAUCGCAACCUGGGGCGGAAGUACGUCCCAAGGGUUGGGCUGUUCGCCCAUUAAAGCGGUACGUGAGCUGGGUUCAGAACGUCGUGAGACAGUUCGGUCCAUAUCCGAUGUAGGCGUGAGAAUAUUGAGAGGAGCCUUCCUUAGUACGAGAGGACCGGGAAGGACGCACCGCUGGUGUACCUGUUAUGAUGCCAAUUGUAAACGCAGGGUAGCCAAGUGCGGAGAGGAUAACCGCUGAAAGCAUCUAAGUGGGAAGCCCACCUCAAGAUGAGUAUUCUGGUGUAAGGUCACGGGAAGACGACCCGUAAAUAGGCACGAGGUGGAAGUGCAGAGAUGUAUGAAGCCGAAGUGUACCAAUAGACCGUCGGCUUGACCU